rnacentral:rRNA from 1 species
GACGAACGCUGGCGGCGUGCUUAACACAUGCAAGUCGAACGGAAAGGCCCUGCUUUUGUGGGGUGCUCGAGUGGCGAACGGGUGGGUAACACGUGAGUAACCUGCCCUUGACUUUGGGAUAACUUCAGGAAACUGGGGCUAAUACCGGAUAGGAGCUCCUGCUGCAUGGUGGGGGUUGGAAAGUUUCGGCGGUUGGGGAUGGACUCGCGGCUUAUCAGCUUGUUGGUGGGGUAGUGGCUUACCAAGGCUUUGACGGGUAGCCGGCCUGAGAGGGUGACCGGCCACAUUGGGACUGAGAUACGGCCCAGACUCCUAAGGGAGGCAGCAGUGGGGAAUAUUGCACAAUGGGCGGAAGCCUGAUGCAGCAACGCCGCGUGCGGGAUGACGGCCUUCGGGUUUUAAACCGCUUUCGCCUGUGACGAAGCGUGAGUGACGGUAAUGGGUAAAGAAGCACCGGCUAACUACGUG